rnacentral:rRNA from 1 species
UACAGAGGGUGCGAGCGUUGUCCGGAAUCACUGGGCGUAAAGGGCGCGUAGGCGGCUUGAUAAGCGUGCGGUGAAAGCCCGGGGCUCAACCCCGGGUCGGCCGUGCGAACUGUCGAGCUGGAGCACUGUAGAGGCAGGUGGAAUUCCGGGUGUAGCGGUGGAAUGCGUAGAGAUCCUGAAGAACACCGGUGGCGAAGGCGGUUCUCUGGGCAUUACCUGACGCUGAGGAGCGAAAGCGUGGGGAGCGAACAGG